AGUGAACGCUGGCGGCGUGCCUAAUACAUGCAAGUCGAACGGAGUGGCGCACGGGUGAGUAAUAUAUAGCUAAUCUGCCCCUUGCUGGAGGACAACAGUUAGAAAUGACUGCUAAUACUCCAUAGCAAGGGAUGAGACUAUAUCGUAUCAGCUAGUCGGUGGGGUAACGGCCUACCGAGGCGAUGACGCGUAACUGGUCUGAGAGGAUGAUCAGUCACAUUGGAACGGAGACACGAUUCAAACACCUACGGGAGGGAGCAGUAGGGAAUAUUACGCAAUGGGCGAAAGCCUGACGCAGCAACGCAGCGUGGAGGAUGACAAUUUUCGGAGCGUAAACUCAUUUUGUUAGGGAAGCGGUACCUAACGAAUAAGCACCGGCUAACUCCGUGCCAGCAGCCGCGGUAAUUC
rnacentral:rRNA from 1 species